GGCGCACGGGUGAGUAACAUGUGGGAAUCUACCUGAAGGUUCGGAAUAACUGCGGGAAACUGUAGCUAAUACCGGAUGUGUCUGCAAAGAGAAAGAUUUAUCGCCUUCAGAUGAGCCCGCACUAGAUUAGCUAGUUGGUGAGGUAAUUGCUCCACCAAGGCUACGAUCUAUAGCUGAUUUGAGAGGAUGAUCAGCCACACUGGGACUGAGACACGGCCCAGACUCCUACGGGAGGCAGCAGUAGGGAAUAUUGGACAAUGGGGGAAACCCUGAUCCAGCAAUGCCGCGUGAGUGAAGAAGGCCUUCGGGUUGUAAAGCUCUUUCAUCAAUGAUGAUAAUGACAUUAGUUGAAGAAGAAGCUCCGGCUAACUUCGUGCCAGCAGCCGCGGUAAUACGAAGGGGGCUAGCGUUGUUCGGAAUCACUGGGCGUAAAGCGUAUGUAGGCGGAUCAGAAAGUUAGAUGUGAAAUCCCUGGGCUCAACCCAGGAACUGCAUUUAAAACUAGUGAUCUAGAAUUUGGUAGGGGUUAGUAGAAUUUCCAGUGUAGAGGUGAAAUUCGUAGAUAUUGGAAAGAAUACCAGUGGCGAAGGCGACUAACUGGGCCAUUUUUGACGCUGAGAUACGAAAGCGUGGGUAGCAAACAGGAUUAGAUACCCUGGUAGUCCACGCAGUAUACGAUGAGUGCCAGUCGCUGGGACAAUAGUUUCAGUGUCGAAGCUAACGCAUUAAGCACUC
rnacentral:rRNA from 1 species